CGAACAUGCAACAUCGAGAAGACCAGCAAGGGGACCCUCAGCAUCACAUAGACAUGCCCUCACUGUGAGCAUUCCUAUAAAUGGAACAGGGUGAACACUAGAAUCAGGGGCCAGGAGCUGAUCUACACUGCCAUGCCCAUCAAUGGGGCACUGGCAAGACCUCACCUCCAGCCUCAUCUCUAUUUCUACAGAUGAAGAGGACUGUAGAUGCUUUUGCCAGAUGCCAGCCUCUGUCGUUUGAUGGGGAGACCAUAAUUAGGUAGGUUUUAUCUGACCAGUUCAAUCUUCAACAUAGUACCUGUUUGUGUGUCAGAUGUGACCUAUUCUAACUGCCAUUGGUGAUAGAACAGUGACUCUGGGCUCUACCAACUGAGCCACAGGGAAGGUCCUGACCAGUAAGGGGUCAUUUUGUUAUUGUAGUUGGUCAGGACGUGGCAGGGGUGUGUUUGUUUUGUGUGUUUUGGGGUUUUUGGUUUAUGUUCUAUGUUUUCUAUUUCUAUGUGGGUGUUCUAGUUUGUCUAAUUCUAUGUUAGUUUUGGGAACGACCUCCAAUUAGAAGCAGCUGGUUGUCGUUGCUUCUAAUUGGAAGCCAUAUUUAAGUGGGUUUAUUUUCUCUUGUGUUUGUGGGUGGUUGUUUCUUUGUAUAGCUGUGUAGUCUUACAGGACUGUCAUUUGUUUUCUUGUUUUGUUUAGUGUUCACGCUUAAAAAUAAAGGUAUAAGUAUGGACACUUACCACGCUGCGUAUUGGUCCGAUGAUUUCUCCUCAUCAGAAGACGAAGC
rnacentral:lncRNA from 1 species